UACGGGGGGGGGCAAGCGUUGUUCGGAAUUACUGGGCGUAAAGGGUUCGUAGGUGGCUUGCUAAGUCAGACGUGAAAUCCCUCAGCUUAACUGGGGAACUGCGUCUGAGACUGGUGAGCUUGAGUGCAGGAGAGGAACGCGGAAUUCCAGGUGUAGCGGUGAAAUGCGCAGAUAUCAGGAGGAACACCGAUUGCGAAGGCAGCUCGCUGGGACGUAACUGACGCUGAGACGCGAAAGCGUGGGGAGCAAACAGG
rnacentral:rRNA from 1 species